rnacentral:misc_RNA from 1 species
UCUCCGUUGGUGAACCAGCGGAGGGAUCAUUACAGGACUCGCAAGACUCCUACAACCCUGUGAACUUAACUAUAAGCACGUUGCUUCGGCGGGUGUCUCGGAGGGGGUUCUCCCUCCCCGAGACGCUAAACCCGCCGGCAGCCUACUAUACUCUGUCUCUUUGCGUUGGCAUCUCGAGUACAAUCAAACAAGUUAAAACUUUCAACAACGGAUCUCUUGGUUCUGGCAUGAUGAAGAACGCAGC